rnacentral:rRNA from 1 species
UACAGAGGGGGCAAGCGUUGUUCGGAAUUACUGGGCGUAAAGGGCGCGUAGGUGGCCUUCUAAGUUGAACGUGAAAUCCCUGGGCUCAACCCAGGAACUGCGUCCAAGACUGGGAGGCUUGAAUCCGGGAGAGGGAUGCGGAAUUCCAGGUGUAGCGGUGAAAUGCGUAGAUAUCUGGAGGAACACCGGUGGCGAAGGCGGCAUCCUGGAUCGGUAUUGACACUGAGGUGCGAAAGCGUGGGGAGCAAACAGG